CAGUCGCCGCGGUAAUACGGAGGGAGCUAGCGUUGUUCGGAAUUACUGGGCGUAAAGCGCACGUAGGCGGCUUUGUAAGUUAGAGGUGAAAGCCUGGAGCUCAACUCCAGAAUUGCCUUUAAGACUGCAUCGCUUGAAUCCAGGAGAGGUGAGUGGAAUUCCGAGUGUAGAGGUGAAAUUCGUAGAUAUUCGGAAGAACACCAGUGGCGAAGGCGGCUCACUGGACUGGUAUUGACGCUGAGGUGCGAAAGCGUGGGGAGCAAACAGGAUUAGAUACCCCUGUAGUCCCUGUCUCUUAUAC
rnacentral:rRNA from 1 species